rnacentral:rRNA from 1 species
UGGCGGUAUGCUUACACAUGCAGUCGAACGGUCUCUUCGGAGAUAGUGGCGGACGGGUGAGUAACGCGUGAGAAUCUGGCUCUAGGUCGAGGAUAACAGAUGGAAACGUCUGCUAAUACUGGAUAUGCCGAGAGGUGAAAGGUUAACUGCCUGGAGAUGAGCUCGCGUUAGAUUAGCUAGUUGGUGGGGUAAAAGCCUACCAAGGCGACGAUCUAUAGCUGGUCUGAGAGGACGAUCAGCCACACUGGGACUGAGACACGGCCCAGACUCCUACGGGAGGCAGCAGUCGGGAAUUUUCCGCAAUGGGCGAAAGCCUGACGGAGCAAUACCGCGUGAGGGAGGAAGGCUUUUGGGUUGUAAACCUCUUUUCUCAAGGAAUAAGAAAGUGAAGGUACUUGAGGAAUAAGCAUCGGCUAACUCCGUGCCAGCAGCCGCGGUAAUACGGAGGAUGCAAGCGUUAUCCGGAAUGAUUGGGCGUAAAGCGUCCGUAGGUGGUUUUGUGUGUCUGCUGUUAAAGCGUGCGGCUCAACCGCAUAAUGGCGGUGGAAACUACAAGACUAGAGUGCGUUCGGGGCAGGGGGAAUUCCCAGUGUAGCGGUGAAAUGCGUAGAGAUUGGGAAGAACACCGGUGGCGAAAGCGCCCUGCUAGGCCGUAGACUGACGACAUGAGGGACGAAAGCUAGGGGAGCGAAUGGGAUUAGAUACCCCAGUAGUCCUAGCCGUAAACGAUGGAUACUAGGCGUUGAGAGUAUCGACCCUCUCAGUGUCGUAGCUAACGCGUUAAGUAUCCCGCCUGGGGAGUACGCAGGCAACUGUGAAACUCAAAGGAAUUGACGGGGGCCCGCACAAGCGGUGGAGUAUGUGGUUUAAUUCGAUGCAACGCGAAGAACCUUACCAGGGUUUGACAUGUCGCGAAUCCUUUGGAAACAGAGGAGUGCCCUCGGGAGCGCGAACACAGGUGGUGCAUGGCUGUCGUCAGCUCGUGUCGUGAGAUGUUGGGUUAAGUCCCGCAACGAGCGCAACCCACGUCUUUAGUUGCCAUCAUUCAGUUGGGCACUCUGCAGAGACUGCCGGGGACAACUCGGAGGAAGGUGUGGACGACGUCAAGUCAUCAUGCCCCUUACGUUCUGGGCUACACACGUACUACAAUGCAACGGACAAAGGGCAGCCAACUAGCGAUAGUGAGCUAAUCCCAUAAACCGUUGCACAGUUCAGAUUGCAGGCUGCAACUCGCCUGCAUGAAGGAGGAAUCGCUAGUAAUCGCAGGUCAGCAUACUGCGGUGAAUACGUUCCCGGGCCUUGUACACACCGCCCGUCACACCAUGGAAGUUGGCCAUGCCCGAAGUCGUUACCCUAACCGUUGCAGCGGAGGGGGGCGCCGAAGGCAGGGCUGAUGACUGGGGUGAAGUCGUAACAAGGUAGCCGUACCGGAAGGUGUGGCUGGAUCACCUCCUUUAAGGGAGACCUACCAGUGCUACUCCGAACAAUUUUUUAAUAGGAGAGUAUUUGGUCACUCUAGGUCGAACAGGAUUCAAGAGUCUCAAGCUAUUGUUUAGGUUUAUUUACUGGGGCUAUUAGCUCAGGUGGUUAGAGCGCACCCCUGAUAAGGGUGAGGUCCCUGGUUCGAGUCCAGGAUGGCCCACUGGGAUGGGGGUAUAGCUCAGUUGGUAGAGCGCCUGCUUUGCAAGCAGGAUGUCAGCGGUUCGAGUCCGCUUACCUCCACCAAUUUCCGCAACAAGUAGUUAGGAGUAAUUUCAGCACCUUGUCUUCGAGAUAAGCUGCUGGGCUUAGGUCUAGCGAGAACCUUGACAACUGCAUAGAUUAGUCGAAUAGGUAGUUGGGACAGAAUGAGAACUUUAGUAUAUGAGACUGGAGAGGUCAAGCUACAAAGGGCU